rnacentral:rRNA from 1 species
CUGGCUCAGGAUGAACGCUAGCGGCAGGCCUAACACAUGCAAGUCGAGGGGUAACGAUUCCAAGCAAUUGGAAGGCGACGACCGGCGCACGGGUGAGUAUCGCGUUUGUAACCUUCCUCUGACUGGAGCAUAGCCCGAAGAAAUUCGGAUUAAUACUCCAUAAUACUAUAGUCUGGCAUCAUUUUAUAGUUAAAGCUUUGGCGGUCAGAGAUGGGCAUGCGUGACAUUAGCUAGUUGGUGAGGUAACGGCUCACCAAGGCUGCGAUGUCUAGGGGGUCUGAGAGGAUGGUCCCCCACACUGGUACUGAGACACGGACCAGACUCCUACGGGAGGCAGCAGUGAGGAAUAUUGGUCAAUGGGCGCAAGCCUGAACCAGCCAUGCCGCGUGAAGGAUGACAGCCCUACGGGUUGUAAACUUCUUUUGUAAGGGAAGAAACCUGGCUACGUGUGGUCAGUUGACGGUACCUUACGAAUAAGCAUCGGCUAACUCCGUGCCAGCAGCCGCGGUAAUACGGAGGAUGCAAGCGUUAUCCGGAUUUAUUGGGUUUAAAGGGUGCGCAGGCGGAAAAUUAAGUCAGUGGUGAAAUCCUACAGCUUAACUGUAGAGCUGUCAUUGAUACUGAUUUUCUUGAAUUCAGUUGAGGUAGGCGGAAUGUGUAAUGUAGCGGUGAAAUGCUUAGAUAUUACACAGAACACCGAUUGCGAAGGCAGCUUACUAAACUGAUAUUGGCGCUGAGGCACGAAAGCGUGGGGAGCGAACAGGAUUAGAUACCCUGGUAGUCCACGCUGUAAACGAUGAUCACUCGUUGUUGGCAAUACAUCGUCAGCGACUGAGCGAAAGCAUUAAGUGAUCCACCUGGGGAGUACGUUCGCAAGAAUGAAACUCAAAGGAAUUGACGGGGGCCCGCACAAGCGGAGGAACAUGUGGUUUAAUUCGAUGAUACGCGAGGAACCUUACCUGGGCUUAAAUGCAAAACGACGUCCCGAGAAAUCGGGAUUUCUUCGGACGGCUUGCAAGGUGCUGCAUGGCUGUCGUCAGCUCGUGCCGUGAGGUGUCGGGUUAAGUCCCAUAACGAGCGCAACCCUCAUCAUUAGUUGCCAGCGGGUAAUGCCGGGGACUCUAAUGAAACUGCCGGUGUAAACCGAGAGGAAGGUGGGGAUGACGUCAAGUCAGCA